rnacentral:rRNA from 1 species
UACGAAGGGGGCUAGCGUUGUUCGGAAUUACUGGGCGUAAAGCGCACGUAGGCGGAUAUUUAAGUCAGGGGUGAAAUCCCGGGGCUCAACCCCGGAACUGCCUUUGAUACUGGGUAUCUAGAGUCCAGAAGAGGUGAGUGGAAUUCCGAGUGUAGAGGUGAAAUUCGUAGAUAUUCGGAGGAACACCAGUGGCGAAGGCGGCUACCUGGCCUGUUCUUGACGCUGAGGCGCGAAAGCUAGGGGAGCAAAACGGGAUUGAGAAACCCCGGUAGGU